CGGACGGGUGAGUAACACGUGGAUAACCUACCUAUAAGACUGGGAUAACUUCGGGAAACCGGAGCUAAUACCGGAUAAUAUAUUGAACCGCAUGGUUCAAUGGUGAAAGACGGUUUUGCUGUCACUUAUAGAUGGAUCCGCGCUGCAUUAGCUAGUUGGUAAGGUAACGGCUUACCAAGGCAACGAUGCGUAGCCGACCUGAGAGGGUGAUCGGCCACACUGGAACUGAGACACGGUCCAGACUCCUAAGGGAGGCAGCAGAC
rnacentral:rRNA from 1 species